AGAAGUGUUGGCAUUUCUUAUCUCUGCAUUUGAACUUGUCAAUAUUUGUGACCUAACCUUAAUACUGGUAUUAUAUUUGCAGUCUUGAUCCUGAACACAAGAAGGAGUCGAUUGAAAAGUAUUUGGGUGCUACUCAGCCUCGGGAAAAUUAACGGAGGGUUAAAUGCACAAGUGAAUCUAUUUAGAACUUCUGUUUCUCACAACAGAAAAACACCAAGAAGAAAACAAAAUAUCAUUCUGAAGCCCCCCUUUUGGUUACCACUGUGGAGACUGUAUCAUGUAAGUUGAAGCUCCUACAGAAUGUGCAAGCUCAAUGCAACAUGCCUAAAGCCAAGUGAUUUGGAAUAUAAAUCCAUCUGGUCGCCAGAGAAGGGGGAUUCAUAUGUUUUUUUCUGGUUUACUGGUGGUGAAGCCAUCAAAUCGAUUCAUUCUUUGCUGAGAAGAGGAGAUAGUAAUCUUGUAGAAAAUGUAAAUACCAGGUUAUAUUAAUACAGUUUACUUGCAAAGUCGAAAUUUGUGAUGUAAUCAUUUCAUCAGUAUUAGAUUUUGUACAGUAACACCUCAUAUUCUUGGAGGACGUAGUUUUAUUGUUUGCAAUCAUGUUUGUUGUAUAUAGCACAUUGAAAUGGCCAUUCAUUUUAAAUGUGAAUAGUUUUUCCCACUGUUGUUUGCCAAAGAAUCUUUUGUGUAUAUGAUACAACCCUAGUUUGCUCAUGCAGUGA